rnacentral:rRNA from 1 species
CCUACGUGGGACAGCAGUGGGGGAUAUUGCACAAUGGGGGGAACCCUGAUGCAGCGACGCCGCGUGGGUGAAGAAGCGCCUCGGCGCGUAAAGCCCUGUCAGCAGGGAAGAAAAUGACGGUACCUGAAGACGAAGCAUCGGCUAACUACGGGCCAGCAGCCGCGGUAAUACGUAGGGGGCCAGCGUUAUCCGGAUUUACUGGGUGGAAAGGGGGCGCAGACGGCGAUGCAAGCCAGGGGUGAAAGCCCGGGGCCCAACCCCGGAACUGCUCUUGGAACUGCGUGGCUGGAGUGCAGGAGGGGCAGGCGGAAUUCCUGGUGUAGCGGUGAAAUGCGUAGAUAUCAGGAGGAACACCGGUGGCGAAGGCGGCCUGCUGGACUGCAACUGACGUUGAGGCCCGAAAGCGUGGGGAGCAAACAGGAUUAGAUACACCAGUAGUC